AUGAACGCUGGCGGCGUGCCUAAUACAUGCAAGUCGAGCGAACAGACGAGGAGCUUGCUCCUCUGACGUUAGCGGCGGACGGGUGAGUAACACGUGGAUAACCUACCUAUAAGACUGGGAUAACUUCGGGAAACCGGAGCUAAUACCGGAUAAUAUAUUGAACCGCAUGGUUCAAUAGUGAAAGACGGUUUUGCUGUCACUUAUAGAUGGAUCCGCGCCGCAUUAGCUAGUUGGUAAGGUAACGGCUUACCAAGGCGACGAUGCGUAGCCGACCUGAGAGGGUGAUCGGCCACACUGGAAAUGAGACACGGUCCAGACUCCUACGGGAGGCAGCAGUAGGGAAUCUUCCGCAAUGGGCGAAAGCCUGACGGAGCAACGCCGCGUGAGUGAUGAAGGUCUUCGGAUCGUAAAACUCUGUUAUUAGGGAAGAACAAAUGUGUAAGUAACUAUGCACGUCUUGACGGUACCUAAUCAGAAAGCCACGGCUAACUACGUG
rnacentral:rRNA from 1 species